CUUGUCUAUCAACACCUGGCAACUGCCAAUGGAUCUUCUUGGCGCAGAGGUCUGUGCCGCACAGGGUUCUGCCUUAGACAAGGAGUUUCUGUGAUCAAAGAAGCCACAGUGAUGCUGGGUCUGGGCAGAGAAACUGGAAGAGGACAUAUAGCAUCUCAACUGAGGAAAAUUCUUGCCUCUCUCCUCAAACGAGCUCUUGUUCCUCUGGAAAACUCUUAUUUUUGCUGCAAGGCCCAGUGAAAAUGCCAUCUUCCAGUCAAGUCCUCCCUGACCACUCAAACUAUGCCCCUUCCAUGCUUGUUUCCACUUACUGUACAGAAGAUCUGGUGUCCUAGUUAUUUGCUGUUUCUUCCGCCAGACUGCAACCUCCGGCAUUACUCCUUUUCACGUUUCUCCCGAUUUAAAAUAAAAUGUAUGGGUUCA